GGGAUUGUGGCUCAGUGGUAGAGCGCUCACCUAGCACGUGGAAGGCCCUGGGUUCAAUCCUCAGCACCA
rfam:Ictidomys tridecemlineatus contig081020, whole genome shotgun sequence.